AUUGCAAUGAUGAUUUCGUUUUCUACGUAAUCACGACGGUCUUCUGACAUUGCUGGAGAUGGUAGAAACAGACUGAUUGU
rnacentral:snoRNA from 1 species